UUAAGAGGAAUGAUAGGAUUUUGUCAGGGGACUGAUUUGUAAAUCUGGGGACUGUCCCCGGGAAACGGGGACGUCUGGUAACCUUAUUCUAUACAGUCUAUCUGGGACAUAAAAUUGAGGGUGUCUUAACAGGGAAUGCUUAAUCAGUGUUUCCAAGGAAAAUGCUGUGACUGUUUACAGACAAGUGCCAUUUGUGUCGCGAUACCCAUAACAACAGUGGAGCUUAACAGUGCUUUCACUGUUGUCCGUGGGCUACCAGUGGUCCACAAACAGGAAACAAGGGGCGAGGGGACACCAGUGGAGAAGAGCAAGAAGGGAAGAAACCGAGACAUCAAAGUCUGGAGAGAAGCAUAAGGUAUUCUUCCGCCAUCUCUGACUCUCCAACCAGGGGCCCCCCUCUCCCCUCCUGAGACUCGAGCUUUCUCCAAAAAAGCAAAUUGCUGAGUUUGGAUUUGGCACCUCCAGGAAGAGGAGGCACCUUUGAUGAAUACCAAGCGGGCAGACUUCAAUCGCUUCAAUGAGAACCGUUUCCAGAAGAACUCAAGAGUUUCUCCUAUAUUACUGACCUGGUUCCUAAGCACGAUAAAAGAAAACAAACUUUGACCAGCAAACGCGUAUAUACCCCAGGACAAGGGUAGAGAGACCUCAGAUGCAGGAACUGAAUGUGGCCUCCAGGCAUUUCUAUCUGGCCCUCGGAACUUUCGUCAUGACACCCCCUCACUGUGACCCCACUUUUCACCCUGAGUGUUUUGUCCUAGCAGG